CUCCUACGGGAGGCAGCAGUGGGGAAUAUUGCACAAUGGGCGCAAGCCUGAUGCAGCCAUGCCGCGUGUGUGAAGAAGGCCUUYGGGUUGUAAAGCACUUUCAGUCAGGAGGAAAGGUUAGUAGUUAAUACCUGCUAGCUGUGACGUUACUGACAGAAGAAGCACCGGCUAACUCCGUGCCAGCAGCCGCGGUAAUACGGAGGGUGCGAGCGUUAAUCGGAAUUACUGGGCGUAAAGCGUACGCAGGCGGUUUGUUAAGCGAGAUGUGAAAGCCCCGGGCUCAACCUGGGAACUGCAUUUCGAACUGGCAAACUAGAGUGUGAUAGAGGGUGGUAGAAUUUCAGGUGUAGCGGUGAAAUGCGUAGAGAUCUGAAGGAAUACCGAUGGCGAAGGCAGCCACCUGGGUCAACACUGACGCUCAUGUACGAAAGCGUGGGGAGCAAACAGGAUUAGAUACCCUGGUAGUCCACGCCGUAAACGAUGUYUACUAGAAGCUCGGAACUUCGGUUCUGUUUUUCAAAGCUAACGCAUUAAGUAGACCGCCUGGGGAGUACGGCCGCAAGGUUAAAACUCAAAUGAAUUGACGGGGGCCCGCACAAGCGGUGGAGCAUGUGGUUUAAUUCGAUGCAACGCGAAGAACCUUACCUACACUUGACAUACAGAGAACUUACCAGAGA
rnacentral:rRNA from 1 species